AUGUCUUCUAUUGUUGUCCAGCUGACUAAUAUUGUCAGAGAGUUGAUUAACAAUAGAUAUGGAAUUCAAUCUGCUCACAUAUGGCAGUUCUAUUGUGGUAGCACAAAGUAUUCUAAUAAAAGGAUUUAUCUGGAAUAUAUUGGUAAUCCACCAGAUGCUCCCAAGCCUUUUCAAUGGACCUGGAAAUCAUGCUCCCUCCCUAAACAAAAUUUUUUCUUCUGGUUGCUCCUACAAGACAGACUCAACAACGGAUAUCUCCUCGUGAGGAAGAGUUUCCAUAUUAAAAGCACCAGAUGUGUCCUAUGUGAUGAUGAGCCCAAUGAGCAAUUCAUCCACUUAUUCUUCAACUGUGAUUUUAGCCACAAUUUCUGGUUAUCUACUGGAUUUCAAUGGAACACUGAUCUAAACCUGAUGGAGAUGCUUGCGGAAGGGAAGAAGCAUAACAACAUUUGUUGCUUUAAUGAAUGCCUAAUUGCAGGUUGCUGGAGCAUUUGGAAACACAGGAAUGGCAUCAUAUUUGAUCACCAGACUAGAAAUACCAACCAAUGUAUUGCUAGCUUCAAGGAGCACUGUGACAUGAUUAUCAAAAAAGCUAGGCCUAGUUUGAAAGAAGGAAUGCAAUCCUGGCUAGACUAUUCGUGA
rnacentral:rRNA from 1 species